rnacentral:snoRNA from 1 species
GUCCCUUGCAAGCGUGAACGGUGCUAGAGGAAGGUAACCCAGAAGGUAAAGUGAGACUCUAAACAGCACGGAGAGAUUAUGAAGCUCCUCUCUGGGCCUGGCUGGAGUCACAGCU